rnacentral:misc_RNA from 1 species
GGCCGGGCGCGGGUUAAUAAAGCCACCGCUUAAUAAAUCCAAAACGCCUUGUCACCAAGGUGGAUUUAUUAAGCGGAUUCCACUGUAUAUGUGACAGUUCCAGUACACAGUGAGAAUUUCAUAGACACCCACGAUGAAUGCCUGUGUUACGGAGAGCCCUCGACUGUUGAUGGUGACGGAGGUGAAAGAAGAGGAACUAUCAGCAUCUGAAGAUGGUUCUUCAGUACACAAACAUCUGAUGGCUGAGGAAUUGCACGACAGUGAUAACAAUGCAGUAAAGAUCGAGCCUGAGCUGCCUUCAGGAAUUACUGACAGCCUGGGGAGCACUGUCAAGACAGAAGAUGACGACUGGGACGCCAAGUGGAGGGUGGAUGUACCCGACCGGGACCCGCUGGAGCUGGGGCCCGACACCAAGGUUUCCCUCGGCGAUGGUGUUGUCAAAGAGGAGUCCGAAGCUCCCAUUGCCGCCGUCGGCGAGGGAGACCAGGCAACAAGCUCAACAGGCGGACUAGCAACGGUCUGUUGUCCUCACUGCGACUUCAGGUGUCAGGGACAAAAUCGCCUGAACAUGCACGUCAAGGAUAGACACGGUCACAUCGGCAAGGACGACAAAUUGAAGUGUGAAUUGUGUAAAUACUCUACGGAGAAUUCCGACCACAUGGCAAACCACCGCCGCACACACACGGGAGAGCGGUCGUACCGUUGUGAUACAUGUAAUAAGUCGUUCUCUAGCUCAUCUAAUCUGACCCGCCACCGCUGUAUACACACGGGACGAUACAGUUGUGAUAUGUGUGACAAAACGUUUGCUGCAAAAGCUUAUCUGACCAUCCACCGCCGUACACACACAGGGGAACGGCCGUACCGAUGUGAUUUAUGUGGGAAGUCGUUUGCUAUACAGGGUACUCUUACCGCCCACCGUCGCACGCACACGGGAGAGCGGCCGUACCGAUGUGAUUUAUGUAAUAGGUCGUUCACUGAGUCAUCUAAGCUGACCCUCCAUCGCCGUACACACACGGGUGAGCAGCUGUACCGCUGUGAAAUAUGUAAUAAGCCGUUUUCUGAGCUGCGUGGUCUGACCGCCCACCGCCGCACACACACUGGAGAGCGGCCGUACCUCUGUGAUAUAUGUGGGAAGUCGUUUUCUGCGCCAGUAUAUCUGACUCGCCACCGCCACAGGCACUUGACGGAUGAUUUGUCGUAUCGCUGUGAUAAAUGUGGCAUGAUGUUUUCUCACCCGGGUGGUCUAGGUAUGCAUCGCCGUUUCUGUGUUCACUAACCAGAGACCAUACAAGUGUGGCGUGUGCUGUCUCGAUUUGUGAAAAUGAUUGGGGGGUGCCCAGAGCUAAGGCAGAACUCAUAUUCUAUUCUUUUAGAUAAAGCUGCAUUGUGUUUUCUGGGCCUUACUAUCAGUGCUAUACUAGUUCCCCGCAACGAGUCGUGCGUUAAUAGUGCGAAAAUAAACUAGAUGUUUCGAA